AGGACGAACGCUGGCGGCGUGCUUAACACAUGCAAGUCGAGCGAGGCCCCUCCUUCGGGAGGGUGUCCUAGCGGCGAACGGGUGAGUAACACGUGGGCAACCUGCCCUCAGCUCUGGGAUAACCCCGGGAAACCGGGGCUAAUACCGGAUACGACCUCCACGGGCAUCUGCGGAGGUGGAAAGGUUUUCCGGCUGAGGAUGGGCCCGCGGCCUAUCAGCUAGUUGGUGGGGUGAUGGCCCACCAAGGCGACGACGGGUA
rnacentral:rRNA from 1 species